ensembl:lncRNA
GUCAGAUCAUCCUGAGCAUCAGGCAGCAGUGCUGGCUGGACCUGGGAUGCUGUUUGCUUGUGUAAGCUUGCAAACUGCCUUGUCCUGGCUGGGAUGUGGCCUCUGGGGCUCUCUGCUUGCAGUGGGAAGGCCCACUGGCUUCUGCUGCUCAGGAAAUACCCCCAAACCCACCAGUGGACGCUCACCCCAACCCCCCCCCUCCCACCCAAAGGCUCCCGGUUGGUGCUUGCACUUUCCUGCACGAGGACCAUCAGCAGGAGAGGGAUUUGCUGCAGACUGCAGCAGUUCUUGUGAUGUUGGCAGAACCCCUGGAGCUCCGCUUGCAGCAAUGGGCAAGGCUGAAGGAGGUCACAGAAUCACAGCGUCGUUUGAGUUGGAAAGGACCCUUAAAGGCCAUCCGGUCCAACUGCCCUAUCAGUGCAAUCAAAGCAAAGCUCCCAGGCUGGGGAAGGAGCCCCCUAAAUGCCAAAAUAUUUCACGGCCACAAAAAGGACAAAGCAUUGACUUGAAUCUGGAUUUGGAAAAUGAAGACAAGAGGAAUUUCUUUUUCAGUCUGUCUGAACGGAGUGUCUGAAAAGGAGCUGUCAUGGAACGGAGCGCGUGCGCCGAUAACAGCCGCCCAUCCGAGCUGGAUGGCAGCUGACUGCUCUUGGAUCCAUCGCGCACACAUCUGUAGCUGAGAUCCUCCUUUCCAAGCUGCUGCUCCUCGGAGUGCUUCACAGAGGUCAUUCCUCUUUGCAAGGCUCGUUCCCUCCUGCCUUGCAGAUCUCCCUGCCAUUUUCUCCCCUCCUGCAUGUCAGGGCAGCAGGAGGAGUUGCAGCAGUCCCAGGACACGAGUGCACAUGUGCACCACUGCCUUUUUUUUUCACAGGGUGGGAAAACUUUUGGGAAGUGCUGAGAGAUCGCCCUUUUUUCCUGCUCCUGAGGCCAGUUUCCUUCCUCACAGAUUGCAGGUCCCAGGUGGUGCAAACAGCCAGAGCAGCCCAACCCUGCCGAUCUUCCCAAGGCAGCUCCGUGCAUCCCAUGCCACCAGCUCUUCCCUUUGCACUGAGAGAGGAAACUGAGGUACAGGUCCGACCUUCUCCUCUUGCAAAGGAGAUCUGCAGACAGAUGGGUCAAAUACCCCCCAUGCCAGGCAGUAACUUUGCUUCCCUACUGCAGCCAGGAGCCGGGCAGGAGUGCGGCUGGUUGCACUCAGAGCAAUGAAAAGAUAAAUUCAAGCUAAAGCAGUCCACACAUUUCUAUGUUCACUAUGGGAACAGAGGUGUGUGGGUAAAUGCCAAUUUUGCCCCGCUCCUGCUGCACUUCUGCUCGCUUGCUGCAGGUGUGGCAUUCACCCCAAGCACCACAUCGAACCCUUUUGGCUCUGCAGAGGGAGGUGAGUCCCUGCCUCUUCCCACCAUCUGCUGCUGUGGGCUUCUCGGCUCCUGUCUUGCAGGGCUGCUAUCUCCCACGCUUGGCUCAGGGAGCUGAAAGGUUUUUCAAUCAUCUGCUAAUGAUAGGAGAGCAGCUUUUAUUCCCUCUCUCCCCCACUCUUGGCAGGAAAGGUGGAAUGCGGAGCGUGAGAGGAGCAGCCACCUUUCAGGCCAACAGCUGCUUUGGGGGAUGGGUUGGAUAAAUGUGCAGGGUUUCCAAUCAGCCCCACACACCCCGGUCAGAAGGCUUCACCGGAGCACAGCGUGGGGGAAUGGCUGCUGAUAACACUGCGUCCAUCCCAGACAUCCCCACAAACUUUCCUGGAGGAACCCACACCACCAGAGGGGACCGCAGUGGGUCACAACCUGACCCGACCCCAAAGGGCAGCGAUGCAGAUGGCAGUGGGAAAACCAGGUCGGAGUGCAUUGGAAAGAGCUGAAAGUCAGAGGGAUCUCCUCCAAGCCACCUCUCGCUGCUUUUGGAUGCUAGGAGGAACCAACUCUGCGUUGAAGCACUUGGCACAAGGCAGGACCAAGCGCAGAUCCCCCUUCCAACACAUGCACGAGAGCAGAGCUGAACCGUUCGCACAGAAAACAGCUGGAAAAACACAACAAAAUCAAAAGGUCCUUCUGCUCCAUCUCCUGCCUGUAGGUUCUGGUGGGUUGCAGAGCGUUGCCCUCCAUGGUUUGCAGCUCUGCAGAAGGGCUGAGAGCACAGGGACACCAAAGUGUGCCUCUCCCAUGGGGGAGCGUGGGGUCAGCGAGGUGCCCUGGGGACACUCACCCCAACCCAUCUCAUGUCCAGCCGGCGUCUCCCAUAUCCAUCAGCCACGUGCAGCCAGCGCAUUAAAAUCUCAUUUAAAAAGGAAUCAAGGUUUAAUCCAUCCGUGUUUGAAAAUGGUCUUUUCCCAUAUCCUGCUUUUGGCACGGCCUCCCAGCCGGGCCGUUGCACCUCAC